rnacentral:rRNA from 1 species
UAGCAGGGCGGCGUGCUUACACAUGCAGUCGAACGAUGAAGCCCAGCUUGCUGGGUGGAUUAGUGGCGAACGGGUGAGUAACACGUGAGUAACCUGCCCUUAACUCUGGGAUAAGCCUGGGAAACUGGGUCUAAUACCGGAUAGGAGCGCCCACCGCAUGGUGGGUGUUGGAAAGAUUUAUCGGUUUUGGAUGGACUCGCGGCCUAUCAGCUUGUUGGUGAGGUAAUGGCUCACCAAGGCGACGACGGGUAGCCGGCCUGAGAGGGUGACCGGCCACACUGGGACUGAGACACGGCCCAGACUCCUACGGGAGGCAGCAGUGGGGAAUAUUGCACAAUGGGCGCAAGCCUGAUGCAGCGACGCCGCGUGAGGGAUGACGGCCUUCGGGUUGUAAACCUCUUUCAGUAGGGAAGAAGCGAAAGUGACGGUACCUGCAGAAGAAGCACCGGCUAACUACGUGCCAGCAGCCGCGGUAAUACGUAGGGUGCGAGCGUUAUCCGGAAUUAUUGGGCGUAAAGAGCUCGUAGGCGGUUUGUCACGUCUGUCGUGAAAGUCCGGGGCUUAACCCCGGAUCUGCGGUGGGUACGGGCAGACUAGAGUGCAGUAGGGGAGACUGGAAUUCCUGGUGUAGCGGUGGAAUGCGCAGAUAUCAGGAGGAACACCGAUGGCGAAGGCAGGUCUCUGGGCUGUAACUGACGCUGAGGAGCGAAAGCAUGGGGAGCGAACAGGAUUAGAUACCCUGGUAGUCCAUGCCGUAAACGUUGGGCACUAGGUGUGGGGACCAUUCCACGGUUUCCGCGCCGUAGCUAACGCAUUAAGUGCCCCGCCUGGGGAGUACGGCCGCAAGGCUAAAACUCAAAGGAAUUGACGGGGGCCCGCACAAGCGGCGGAGCAUGCGGAUUAAUUCGAUGCAACGCGAAGAACCUUACCAAGGCUUGACAUGUUCUCGAUCGCCGUAGAGAUACGGUUUCCCCUUUGGGGCGGGUUCACAGGUGGUGCAUGGUGUCGUCAGCUCGUGUCGUGAGAUGUUGGGUUAAGUCCCGCAACGAGCGCAACCCUCGUUCCAUGUUGCCAGCACGUCGUGGUGGGG